rnacentral:rRNA from 1 species
CGCAUCCUACGGGGCGCAGCAGUGGGGAAUAUUGGACAAUGGGGGGAACCCUGAUCCAGCGACGCCGCGUGAGUGAAGAAGUAUUUCGGUAUGUAAAGCUCUAUCAGCAGGGAAGAAAGAAAUGACGGUACCUGUUUAGAAAGCUCCGGCUAACUACGUGCCAGCAGCCGCGGUAAUACGUAGGGAGCAAGCGUUGUCCGGAAUUACUGGGCGUAAAGGGCGCGUAGGUGGGCGCUUAAGUCAGGUGUGAAAACUCCGGGCUCAACCUGGAGACUGCACUUGAAACUGGGUGUCUUGAGGGCAGG